CUCACAGUCUACUAAUUUGCUUCCAGAAUCUUAGAACUUCCCCACAAUGAAACUUCUAGAAUGUGUGUUCCUCCUGGCUCUCAUCUCAGCUGUUCAGGGGCAGUCACUCACCUCCUCUGAGCCAGUGGUGAAGAGACCUGGAGAGUCAGUAACACUGUCCUGUGCUGUGUCUGGAUUCUCAAUGGAUAGCUACUGGAUGCACUGGAUCCGUCAGAAACCAGGGAAAGGACUAGAGUGGAUUGGAUACAUUGACGGUGGAACCACUGCUUACUAUGCCCAGUCUCUCCAGGGUCAGUUCACCAUCACCAAAGACAACUCCAAAAACCAGCUGUACUUAGAGGUGAAAAGCCUGAAGACUGAAGACUCUGCUGUUUAUUAUUGUGCCAGAGACACAGUAACACAGGAUGCUGCAGCACCGUACAAAAACUGA